rnacentral:rRNA from 1 species
CUUUUGGGUGUGACUGCGUACCUUUUGUAUAAUGGGUCAGCGACUUAUAUUCUGUAGCAAGGUUAACCGAAUAGGGGAGCCGGAGGGAAACCGAGUCUUAAUUGGGCGUUAAGUUGCAGGGUAUAGACCCGAAACCCGGUGAUCUAGCCAUGGGCAGGUUGAAGGUUGGGUAACACUAACUGGAGGACCGAACCGACUAAUGUUGAAAAAUUAGCGGAUGACCUGUGGCUGGGGGUGAAAGGCCAAUCAAACCGGGAGAUAGCUGGUUCUCCCCGAAAGCUAUUUAGGUAGCGCCUCGUGAAUUCAUCUCCGGGGGUAGAGCACUGUUUCGGCUAGGGGGCCAUCCCGGCUUACCAACCCGAUGCAAACUGCGAAUACCGGAGAAUGUUAUCACGGGAGACACACGGCGGGUGCUAACGUCCGUCGUGAAGAGGGAAACAACCCAGACCGCCAGCUAAGGUCCCAAAGUCAUGGUUAAGUGGGAAACGAUGUGGGAAGGCCCAGACAGCCAGGAUGUUGGCUUAGAAGCAGCCAUCAUUUAAAGAAAGCGUAAUAGCUCACUGGUCGAGUCGGCCUGCGCGGAAGAUGUAACGGGGCUAAACCAUGCACCGAAGCUGCGGCAGCGACGCUGAUGCGUUGUUGGGUAGGGGAGCGUUCUGUAAGCCUGCGAAGGUGGCCUGUGAGGGUUGCUGGAGGUAUCAGAAGUGCGAAUGCUGACAUAAGUAACGAUAAAGCGGGUG